AAUAACAAUAAUAAUAAUAAUAAUAAUGAUAAUAAUAAUAAUGAUAAUAAUAAUAAGGGUUUCAAAUUUGUCACAAGGGUAGUUUGGGGGCAAAGAUUAAGUCAAUUACAUCAUCCCUAGUGUUUUACUGUUACUUAAUUCAUCGAUCCCGAAAGGAUGAACGGCAAAGUCAACCUCGGCGGAGUUUGAACUCAGAACGUAAAGACGGACGAAAUACCGCUAAGCAUUUUGCCCGGCGUACUAACUGUUUUGCCAGUUCGCCGCCUUAAUAAUAAUAAUAAUAAUAAUAAUAAUAAUAAUAAUAAUAAUAAUAAUAAUUUCAAAUUUUUGCCACAGGAGCAGCUUGGUGGAGGGAAUUAAGCCAAUUGCAUCGACUUCAGUGCGUAACUGAUACUUAUUUAAUCGACUCCGAAAGGAUGAAAGCUAAAGUCGACGUCGGCGAAAUUCGAACUCGGAACGUAGUGACAGACGAAAUACCUAUUUCUUUACUGCUCGCAAGGGGCUAAACAUAGAGGGGACAAACAAGGACAGACAAACGGAUUAAGUCGAUUAUAUCAACCGCAGUGCGUAACUGGUACUUAAUUUAUCAACCCCGAAAGGAUGAAAGACAAAGUCGACCUCGGCGGAAUUUGAACUCAUAACGAGUGGCAGACGAAAUACCUGUUUCUUUACUACCCACAAGGGGCUUUACUGCCCACUAAGGCCGAACACAAAACGACAUAGGGACUACAAAACACAGAACGAGCGGGCCUUAGCACAAAAAUACGUUUAUGCACUAAAAAACAAGAAUAAAUAACAAAAAAUUCAACAAUAAAAUUCCCCAAAGACGGGUGAGGUUCCACCCAGGGACAACCAAGAACCCUUCGUCUCCUGGCCACCCCAACCCUCAGGCAGUACAUCUCUCCUUCUCUCCGGCUUACAAGCGUAUUUCAGAGUAGGCCCAUUCAUACGGGUAAUCCUCGCGGCAUUUACCCACCGUUCAUUAAAAAAAAUGUGGGGGUGGGCAGCACUUACCCCUCCAUCCUCACUUUCCUUUUCAACUGGAACUUGAUAAAAGUCAAUGAGAGCUUGGCUAAAGAGGAAAAUAUCUGUCUUCAGUCCUUUCGACCUCCUCCACCUCAUUUCGCCUAGUCAUUAGACAGGAAAACCGCUAUUUAUUCUUGGCCAAAAUAAAGGUGGCGGGGUGAUCCUCACGAUGGACUCGGCUGAUAAUCGGGUACGUCCUACAUGCGUCGACAGCUAUUCGACAAAGCUCCACAAAUCCGCUAUGCCCGGUUUCAUCACCCUGCGCACAUCUUGGACAGGUUCGUCUGACAGCACUUCCGUGCCUAUAGAGCUUCUCUCGAACCGUCAGGGCGCCCUGGUAACACUGCUAGGCCAGAGAUUUCCGGCCCGAAAGUUCUUCGGAAAAGGCCAGCUAAUCGAUCCCUCCUGAUGCCCAGAGUUUCCUCAAAAACGUCGUCGCUCUUGCCCGCCACAAAUCCUCAAUCCAAUGUGGGAUUUCCACCGACUGCCUUGCUUGAUUGGCAAGCGCUUACAGCCGCUUGCCGACACUCUAGGUGCGAAGCAUCCUUUCUCGGUCUACGCUUAAUCCAGGACUGUACCUCCGUCAAUGAGAUGAGCUGCGUAAAAAUCCUGUCUGACAAAUGGCGAUCAAACCUGUUCACCGUUAAAGAAACGCUGGAGAUGUCGCAGCUUCAGCGCAUGUCUGUGCAUCAUUAACCACAGCAUGCUCAGUCUUUCACUCAGCGGCUACUGACAGCAGAUGGACCAUCUGACAUCCCUUCCACAGGAAAUGGAAGAGCAAGCGCUCCAGCUUGAUCAGCCACGAUGCAGGGCAAGAGACGACGGUCAGGCGAUACAUGACGAAAGCGUCAGCUCUACCUGACCCUUCAGGGACACCUUCCUCUCUGUUGAUUUCUGAGUGAGACUAGCCGCCCUGCUCGUCACCUCCACUCACUUCUUGUUCACCUGGAAGUCCGGACUAAACCAGACCCCCGAGCAUUUUAACCGGUCCUUCCGUCCACGGCCCUACGACGCUGUCGGACGACAUGGACCUGCCUCUCUAUGCCGAGCUGCAGGCUCACCAACUUCUCCUCGUUAAUCUUUGUUCCUGUUACCGCUUUGUACUCCCUUCAGGUGGUGCCGAUCAUCUUGAUUUCCGAGAUGCUCGACACUAUUACGGUGACGUUGUCCGCAUAAGCCGACUCGAACCUUCCGCAUCCUUGUUCAUGCGGGAUACACAUGAGGUGGAGAUUGUCGUGGAAAGAUAUGCUUGAGAUAGCGCAUGUCUGUGCAUCACCGACCAGUUUAUCGACGACAACCGUCAACCUCUUACGGACUUAAAAUUAUCUAUUUGCCCCCCCCCCUUCCUUGAUCGGGUCCUUUCUCAGCAGUACCACCAUGCCACGGCUCACUGCACUGGGAAUUCUCCCGUUCUGCUGCCAGUUGUGGUAAACAUCCGCCAAGAGAUUUCCGAACAAGUCUGGCAUAUGAAGAUGACGCUCAAGCCCCGAAGACCUCUCUUUUGCAGCCAGCCAUCAUGUCCCUUAUCUCUUCUACUGUUAUCGGCAUUUUGAAGAACUCUGCAUCCCUUGUUGAAAGGCGCGGCAUGCCAUCGAAGGAGGAGAUGAAAUCCACCCCGCCUCAAUCUACUGCGCGUUCCGUGCAGUUCGGCAAAGCGCUGCUGAUAUUCUGCACACAUCUGCUUGAAUUCGAGUAGCAUGUACCCGUCCCGGCCCAUCAAAGACCGCAUUGUGACUUUGUUGCCACGUUACGCUUCUUCUACCCAAGCCUAUCAGACUGCUUUCAUUUCUUCAUGUCUUAACGCAUGCGUCCUAGCUCUGACAACGCAACCUUCGUGCUUGGCAUUGAAGAAUUGAUCAUGAUCCAAUUUCACCGCCAGCGUGUUAGUGGUUAUACUUCUUGUAAACUUCUUUUCUAGCUUCAUAGCUAGGUCACCCUCUAUUCUAGAUUCUUUACUAAACCUUAAUGCCUCUACUCUAAUAGCUCUUUUCAGGGUUUUCCACCAUCGGUUGUUGGCGAUUGCACCCGACAACUUCCGAAGGAUUAACUUGCUAAUCCGGUCUCUGAAAGCUUGACGCGCUGGGAAAGACGCAUCCAGUUUCCAGUAUUCGGGGCCUUGUCUAGGUUGACCGUACAGAACACAGAUUUGUGAUCUGUGUAACCGACGACUUUAAAUUGUGGACAUCUUAUGCUACUUCUAUCAAAUUAUUCUACAAAUUAAUCUAUCUAGAUAUGAUCUGGAAGACCUGAUGCUGUUUGCCCGUGUUCAUAUUCGUGCAUUUGGGAAACUUAGUCGGUAUUUGUCAGCCAGUUGGAAACGACUGAGCAGGUUUGUGAGGCGUUUACACCCCAUCUCCUAUCGGCUCUCUCCUAUCGGUUAGCCCCUCCAGCGUCCAAUCCAGGGGUGCGCUUGAAUCGCCCACAAGCACUAAAGAGCGAGACGUCCCAAGGAAAAUUUCCAAACGUCUGAAGACAUCUGUCUACCCCACUCCAGUCGGGGCGUACACAAAGACUGGUCUAAAAGUACCACCUUCACUAUUGUUCAUAUCUAGGACCAUCAAUUUACUAUUCGGGUCCAGAAAGAUUGUUCGUACCUCGAGAUCCAGUACUACCACUCCGCUUCCCAUUUCAGCCGACUAAGAGAUGCGUAGAUUUCAAAAUCGGGGGCUAGAAUAAUAGGGGCUACAUUUGAGCUGCUUCCCUUCAUUGUUGAAUUGUAUAGAUUUUACUAGUUAUUACUUCGAUUAAAUAAAAGUUAUUCUGAGUUGAGAUAUGGUUGCUUUACGAUGGUUAAAAACCGCAACAACUUUUGCAGCAACCUGUUGCACACACACACACGCACACACACACACACACACACACACACACACACACACACACACACACACACACACACACACACACACACACACACACACACACACACACACACACACACACACACACACACACACACACAUACACACACACACACAUACACAUGCAGAGUAAUUCAGAAAUCCUUUUAGCAGUUAAACGUUAUAUGUUUCGAAUUUUGUCUUCGCUAUUUUCUUGUAAUAUUUACACACACACACACACACACACACACAAACACACACACACACACACACACACACGCACACACACACACGCACACAAGAAUAUCCUUAACAUAGCAUAAUACACACACAUAUACAUGCACGCACACGUAUGCAUGCACACUCAUCCAAAAUAAGUUGGUAGCAUUUACCAUGCUUUCCACUUAUCGUUUUUACUCCCCGUGUGGUCGUGCGCAGAUACCCUCGGCAGUUCCACACUUGAUCUACGAAUCAUCUUGGAUGUGUUUACAGAUAACAUUUUGAGCAUUUCCGUGCCAUCAAGAAUGACAUUCGACAUUGAUGUCUCAUUAUAUUUAAAAAGUAAUGGGGUGUUAUUCGCUAUAACACUUUCAAUGAAACAUUAUUGAUAUAUCUAUUUAAUCUUAUUUAUUUUAGGGUAAUUUUCCAACGGAAGGAAACAAGGAAUGGAGGCCACAG
rnacentral:lncRNA from 1 species